UACAGAGGUGGCAAGCGUUGUUCGGAAUUACUGGGCGUAAAGGGCGCGUAGGCGGCCUUCUAAGUCGAACGUGAAAUCCCCGGGCUCAACCCGGGAACUGCGUCCGAUACUGGAAGGCUUGAAUCCGGGAGAGGGAUGUGGAAUUCCAGGUGUAGCGGUGAAAUGCGUAGAUAUCUGGAGGAACACCGGUGGCGAAGGCGGCAUCCUGGACCCGGCAUUGACGCUGAGGAGCGAAAAGCUAGGGGAGCAAACGGG
rnacentral:rRNA from 1 species